GAUGAACGCUGGCGGCGUGCCUAAUACAUGCAAGUCGAGCGAACAGACGAGGAGCUUGCUCCUUUGACGUUAGCGGCGGACGGGUGAGUAACACGUGGAUAACCUACCUAUAAGACUGGGAUAACUUCGGGAAACCGGAGCUAAUACCGGAUAAUAUAUUGAACCGCAUGGUUCAAUAGUGAAAGACGGCUUUGCUGUCACUUAUAGAUGGAUCCGCGCCGCAUUAGCUAGUUGGUAAGGUAACGGCUUACCAAGGCAACGAUGCGUAGCCGACCUGAGAGGGUGAUCGGCCACACUGGAACUGAGACACGGUCCAGACUCCUACGGGAGGCAGCAGUAGGGAAUCUUCCGCAAUGGGCGAAAGCCUGACGGAGCAACGCCGCGUGAGUGAUGAAGGUCUUCGGAUCGUAAAACUCUGUUAUUAGGGAAGAACAAAUGUGUAAGUAACUAUGCACGUCUUGACGGUACCUAAACAGAAAGCCACGGCUAACUACGUG
rnacentral:rRNA from 1 species